rnacentral:rRNA from 1 species
AUACGGAGGGUGCAAGCGUUACUCGGAAUCACUGGGCGUAAAGCGCGCGCAGGCGGCUUGAUAAGUUGGAUGUGAAAGCCUACGGCUCAACCGUAGAACUGCAUCCAAAACUGUCAGGCUAGAGUGUGGGAGAGAAAGAUGGAAUUAGUUGUGUAGGGGUAAAAUCCGUAGAGAUAACUAGGAAUACCAAAAGCGAAGGCAAUCUUCUGGAACACUACUGACGCUGAGGCGUGAAAGCGUGGGGAGCAAACAGGAUUAGAAACCCCGGUAGUCC